rnacentral:lncRNA from 1 species
AAGUGAAAAUGGUCGGAGAGCAUAGAACAGAAGCUCUCAGGAUCUCCAAUUCGAGAGAUAUAAAAGAGUUGAAGGCGAGUUACAAGCGACAAAUGCAGCAUCCGACACUUGGACUAAGCGCAUUUAAUGUUGACUGUCAAAUAAGAAAACGAAAAGAGUGUAACAGUACAGAUCGAGUAGCGAAACGACCGAGAGAGAGAUCGAUUCAGGAUUGAAUAGAUUGAAAGCAACUGAAAUUCUCUUCCGAGAAAAUGAAUUGAAGGCAACCAACCUCUUUUUCCUCCUUGUGGCUGUGGUGAUUUUUUAUUUGCUUGUUUCCUCCGCAGCAAGCUAAAGCUUUCGCUUUCUUUUCUUUUUUUUUUUUUUUUUUGUUUUUGUUUUUGUUUUUCUCUCUUACAAAUUCUUUUAGUUCAUGUCUUUGUAUUGAUUAUUUAAUAUUAAAUUAAGACUUUUGAAUUAAUAAUUUAUUCCUUAAUUCCUAGUUUGGUGUUUUUGACUCCUGUACACAUAUAUAUAUAUAUAUAUAUAUAUAUAUAUAUACACAAACAGACGCAGUUAAGCAGUUG